AAAGGAGGUACGCUGAGCCGCUAACUCAAAAGAUCGGGCUUGAACCCCCGACCCCUUUA
rnacentral:tRNA from 1 species